rnacentral:miRNA from 1 species
GGCAACACUUCGAGAAAAGCUCACAUCUCCUGUUCAGUAAUCUUUUCUUAUCACCUUUCAAAAUUUCGAGUUUCUCUUGGAGGCAUAGGUUGCAACUUUUUUAUUAUUUAUUUUAUUUUGAAAUUUUGAAAGGUGAUAAGAAAAGAUUACUGAACAGGAGAUGUGAGCUUUUCUCGAAGUGUUGCC